CCGGCCCCAAGUGUUCAACCGGUUCUUGUAGCAAAGAAGCGUUGCCGAGUUCCUCCCCGGUCCGCCUAGUGAGUACUCUGUUGCAUUUGUAUUUGAUCAUUGAUUUCGUAAUCAAUAGUUUCUUUUGUGAUCGUGACACUUGUUUGAAUUAGGACUUCUGAGAGUGCUGUUCUUGAAGGGGUAAGCACAGAGCCAACUGAAGAUCCAUUGGCCACGAACUCUGAUGCCGUACCUGUUGUCAAUAUGACAACUGAAGAUCCACCACGAGCUGAAGGCGCGGGUGCGGUGAGUCUCACGACCGCCAUACUGUGAGAUGUGAUCAGUUCGGUUGAGGAUCUGGUGCCGCUAGCCCCUGAGGUUGUAAAUGACAAUCCUCUCCCCGCGACCAAGACCGCCG
rnacentral:lncRNA from 1 species